UUGUGUCUUCGAGUCGUUGAUUUCACACUGCCGAGAAAAGCCUCUAGAUAGAAAAUAGGUGCCCGUACCGCAAACCGACACAGGUAGUCAAGAUGAGAAUUCUAAGGUGAGCGAGCGAACUCUCGUUAAGGAACUCGGCAAAAUGACCCCGUAACUUCGGGAGAAGGGGUGCUCUUUAGGGUUAACGCCCAGAAGAGCCGCAGUGAAUAGGCCCAAGCGACUGUUUAUCAAAAACACAGGUCUCUGCUAAACCGUAAGGUGAUGUAUAGGGGCUGACGCCUGCCCGGUGCUGGAAGGUUAAGAGGAGUGGUUAGCUUCUGCGAAGCUACGAAUCGAAGCCCCAGUAAACGGCGGCCGUAACUAUAACGGUCCUAAGGUAGCGAAAUUCCUUGUCGGGUAAGUUCCGACCCGCACGAAAGGCGUAACGAUUUGGGCACUGUCUCAACGAGAGACUCGGUGAAAUCAUAGUACCUGUGAAGAUGCAGGUUACCCGCGACAGGACGGAAAGACCCCGUGGAGCUUUACUGUAGCCUGAUAUUGAAAUUCGGCACAGCUUGUACAGGAUAGGUAGGAGCCUUUGAAACGUGAGCGCUAGCUUACGUGGAGGCGCUGGUGGGAUACUACCCUA
rnacentral:rRNA from 1 species